rnacentral:rRNA from 1 species
AAUGGGCGAAAGCCUGAUGCAGCAACGCCGCGUGUGUGAUGAAGGCCUUCGGGUCGUAAAGCACUUUUCUGGGAGAUGAGAAAGGACAGUAUCCCAGGAAUAAGUCUCGGCUAACUACGUGCCAGCAGCCGCGGUAAAACGUAGGAGGCAAGCGUUAUCCGGAUUCACUGGGCGUAAAGCGCGUGCAGGUGGCGCGGUAAGUUGGGCGUGAAAUCUCCCGGCUCAACUGGGAGAGGUCGUCCAUUACUACCGUGCUUGAGAGCAGAAGAGGAAGAUGGAAUUCCCGGUGUAGUGGUGAAAUGCGUAGAUAUCGGGAGGAACACCAGUGGCGAAGGCGACCUUCUGGUCUGUUUCUGACACUCAGACGCGACAGCUAGGGUAGUAAACGGGAUUAGAGACCCCGGUAAUCCUAGCCGUAAACGAUGUGAACUUGGCGUUGGUGGGUUAAACUCCAUCAGUGCCGUAGCAAACGCGAUAAGUUCACCGCCUGGGGACUACGGCCGCAAGGUUA